UACGUAGGGUGCAAGCGUUGUCCGGAAUUAUUGGGCGUAAAGAGCUCGUAGGCGGUCUGUCGCGUCUGCUGUGAAAACUCGGGGCUUAACCCCGGGCCUGCAGUGGGUACGGGCAGACUAGAGUGCGGUAGGGGAGACUGGAAUUCCUGGUGUAGCGGUGAAAUGCGCAGAUAUCAGGAGGAACACCAGUGGCGAAGGCGGCACUCUGGGCCGGAACUGACGCUGAGGAGCGAAAGCGUGGGGAGCGAACAGG
rnacentral:rRNA from 1 species